ACAGCUGUCCUUCACUCGCACGGAGCAACCUCGGGACAGAUGGUGGGAGAGGAAGGGCAACUCGAGGAGGCACAUUUUAGGAAACUGCCCACGGAGCCAGUUUCGAUUCUCCAAACCUCGUCAGCAUGCAGAGGCUCCCUGACUCGGCAGCAAGGAGGGCCUCAUCAGCCGACCCCCAUGCCCGGCACCCCCUUCACCAGUGGCAGGGUCCUGAAAACUCCAGAGAGCAGUGCCCUGUGCAUUAAACACAGACUGCGCCCUUGUACUCAGGAGGAUGCAAUUCUCUCUCUAAAGUCGAGAGCUCACCACCCCGGGCGUUCGUCACUGCAGACAUCACUGCAGACACAGAGACGGCCAUUAGAGCUCACCACCCCGGGCGUUCGUCACUGCAGACAUCACUGCAGACACAGAGAAGGCCAUUAGAGCUCACCACCCCGGGCGUUCGUCACUGCAGACAUCACUGCAGACACAGAGACGGCCAUUAUGCAGCCUCACGUGGUCACUCCUGGGGGCGGUAGGAUAUUUUAUCCUAAAGAGAAAACACCUUAAAUUCUCACAUCAGCCACCCCCAUGGCGACUCUUAACACCUUAAUGUAGCACCUUCCAACUUUUCCUGGGCAUUUAUGUACAAAUUGUAAUAAAAUUGGGUUCUUACUGCAUACGCUGCUUGCUGGUUUCUAAAUAAAAUUGGGUUCUUACUAUA